CAGUCGCCACGGUAAUACGGAGGGUGCAAGCGUUACCCGGAUUUACUGGGCGUAAAGGGCGUGUAGGCGGCCUGGGGCGUCCCAUGUGAAAGGCCACGGCUCAACCGUGGAGGAGCGUGGGAUACGCUCAGGCUAGAGGGUGGGAGAGGGUGGUGGAAUUCCCGGAGUAGCGGUGAAAUGCGCAGAUACCGGGAGGAACGCCGAUGGCGAAGGCAGCCACCUGGUCCACUUCUGACGCUGAGGCGCGAAAGCGUGGGGAGCAAACCGGAUUAGAUACCCCUGUAGUCCCUGUCUCUUAUAC
rnacentral:rRNA from 1 species